UCAACUGCUGAGCCACCCAGGCUAAUAAUUGUGUGUAUUAGUGCAAUGAUAUCAUUCAGACAUUAUGCCACAAUCAGUUCAACAAAAAUUCAUUGACUAUCAUCUGCAAGGCUCUGCUAAGCCCUAAGGAAGGAUAAAAUGAUGAAUAGACUCUGAAAGAGUCAUGGUAGCAAUUAUGAGAUAAAACAAGGAAAGUAAGAGCAAUACCUAAAAGGCUAAAAGGAGAGAUGAGAUUCUACAACUCUUAAGAAAACAAAGAGAAGAAAGGAUCUUGAAAGAACUGGUUUCCCUUCCUUAUAAGCCAAAAGCCAAAGUACACAAAGCAAAGAAAGUGAUAUUAAAGUCAGAUAAGGAAGACCAAGAGGAGGUCAAAGCCUUGGACUAACACGCUUGGCACAUGGCAGAGGAUGGCUCAUGUACAUCUUUACUUUUGAAACAACCUUCUCUUAUGUCAGGAUCACUGGGAUCACUUUGUUAAAACUGACAAAUAAAGUUCAAUAUGCAGACUUCUA